UACGUAGGGGGCGAGCGUUAUCCGGAUUCACUGGGUGUAAAGGGAGCGUAGACGGCCAAGCAAGCCAGGGGUGAAAGCCCGGGGCCCAACCCCGGGACUGCCCUUGGAACUGCAUGGCUGGAGUGCGGGAGGGGCAGGCGGAAUUCCUGGUGUAGCGGUGAAAUGCGUAGAUAUCAGGAGGAACACCAGUGGCGAAGGCGGCCUACUGGACGGUGACUGACGCUGAGGCUCGAAAGCGUGGGGAGCAAACAGG
rnacentral:rRNA from 1 species